CUUUGCUUUGCAGAGAGUGGAGGGGCUUCUUGUUUACUCUCUGAGUCUGACUAAGGGGCUCCAGCUGUGUUUUGAACUUCUUCCAGGGAGGUCUGGAGCUGCAUCUUGGAUGAAAAUGUGAACUGCAGCAAUUUCUGCUUCCUUUUCUGUUUUCUUUGAACUUCUGUGCCAUCCCUACCCAUGAGUCUGUUGACAGAAAUAUCUCCUUGGGGUUCAGCGGAUGAAAUGGUGGCUUUGUUGCCCAUGAAUUCACAUGGAAAUAGCUGGGAAGCAGAUCUGUCUCCUCCGUGGGACUACUCAUGAAGCAGGACUCUGCAUCUAAGAAUUACUGACUGACUCACCCACCCAGACCGUCUGUUGGAUCCAUCUGGACAGGGCAGUGCAUAAGAGAGCUUCUUGCUCCAGUUCACCUGUGCUUGAGAGCAGCAAGGUCUUCCUGGGUUCCGCUAAAAGCUGCAAGAUGAUUCCCUCUGUUACUUGGGCAUGAUGAGCCUUUCUUUUGGAUGUAGUCCUGCCCUAAGAAUGAGUGCUGAGUGACCCACAGGUAUGCCAAUUUGCUCCCAAGAAGUGUUCACUAAUUGAAAUGAGAACGUUUUUUUUAAAAAGCUCUCCCAUAUUUCUAUAACAACUUUUUCUCGUAUCAUCUUUUCCAUGUAUAAGUAUUCCCUGAAGCAUGUUUUAAAAACAACAAUUACAAAGAUAAAUUACUUCAA